rfam:Zea mays cultivar B73 chromosome 8, whole genome shotgun sequence.
GUCUAGCUCAGUCGGUAGAGUGCAAGGUUUUUAAUCUUGAGGUCGUGGGUUCGAGCCCCAUUGUGGACG